AAGGGGGCAGAAUGGAGUUAGAGGAGGGUUACAAUGGAAGCUCAGCACUGGGAGCUCAAGGAGGCGUGGCUAUGUCCAUCAUUGGCGCAGAAGAUGAGGACUUUGAAAAUGACAUUGAACCUUUCCAGCACCCGGAUGCUCAAACCGGCUUGUUCCAAAACCUGGAGAUCCUG